rnacentral:lncRNA from 1 species
GACUCUGUGCUCUGUGUGUGUGAGAUACUAGCUAGUUCACUUUUUAUGUCAAAUUUAGAACUUGCUUAGCUAGUGUUGCCUAGGUUGAAGGAUAGUCGGUUAGGAAAGCAUCAUAGGACAUUUUUUAUUAUAGUCAACUUUAGCCUAAAUGACCUUCCAUGUGUACAUUAUAUCCCCUGAUCCAUGAUUUGAGCCUUGUAAACAUAUUUUUUCUU